rnacentral:rRNA from 1 species
CCAGACUCCUACGGGAGGCAGCAGUGAGGAAUAUUGGUCAAUGGGCGAGAGCCUGAACCAGCCAAGUCGCGUGAGGGAAGACGGUCCUAUGGAUUGUAAACCUCUUUUGUCGGGGAGCAAAAAGGCCUCGUGAGGCCACAAGUGAGAGUACCCGAAGAAAAAGCAUCGGCUAACUCCGUGCCAGCAGCCGCGGUAAUACGGAGGAUGCGAGCGUUAUUCGGAUUUAUUGGGUUUAAAGGGUGCGUAGGCGGACGCUUAAGUCAGCGGUAAAAUUGCGGGGCUCAACCUCGUCGAGCCGUUGAAACUGGGUGCCUUGAGUGGGCGAGAAGUACGCGGAAUGCGUGGUGUAGCGGUGAAAUGCAUAGAUAUCACGCAGAACUCCGAUUGCGAAGGCAGCAUACCGGCGCGCAACUGACGCUCAUGCACGAAAGCGUGGGUAUCGAACAGGAUUAGAUACCCCAGUA